GUUUAUGAAAAAAGAAGUCAGCCCUUGGAAGCAAACAAGUUUGAUUAAUUUAUUGAUUGUUUCUGGUUAUUUAUUUCCACGUUUUUCCUCUUCCAAACUCGGCAUAAAAAUCCAGGUUCAAAAAGCUGUCUGCUUCUAGCAGUUCCUCUCUUGCUGCAGCGUCAUGGAGAUAUGUGAGCAUACACACCUUGAGUCAUUGUGCUAAAGAAUGGAGAGUAGGAGCAGGAGGUUGUCUUAAGAAAGAGCAAGCUGUGUGAGAGUGAAAAAGCUUUGGGCCAAGUAUAAGAACCUCAGGAAAGGAUCCCAGUCCUGGUUGCAACCUGUCCAGUGUUUUAGGACAUUGUUCAGCCUGGUCAUAGGUGAUGUCACAGGUUUGCUUAGUUUGCUGUUGCAGUCACCUGCUUGCACCUACAAAUCACUGUGGGUGAAGAAACGGCCAGAAAAAAAGCAGCAGAGAAAAAAGGUAUCUAAUUUUUGUUGAAGCCAGCAUCCUGCCCAACAUGCUGUCCACACUUACUGUUUCUAUUGCUUGCCAGCACUGACAUAAGUGGGACGGAUGGAAACAAUGAUUUCAUCCAGAAUCUUGAAAGAAAAUGGAAAGGCAGCAGGGACAGCAAACUGAAAACACUCAGUUUCUGAAGAUGUGUAUCCCCAGGUAAAUUUCUUGCCUUUGAUUAAACAGGUCAGAAUUAUAAUGACUAUCUUAAAUUACAAGCUCUGCAACUGGGUAAAGUUGGAAGGCACAGUGCUACACCCUGUCAGAGGCAAUGCAGCAACAGUAGCAGUAAUGCUGAUUGCUUCAGCCAGGCAAGCUCUUUCCUUAGAAGCUGUUGAUUUCUAUGCAAGUGUCUGCCUCAGAGCAUAACUGCAAAAUACUGCAGAUUAAUAAAUUAAUGUUUAAAAUUCAUGAUUAAAAUUAAUGCUCUUUCUCCUGCCUGCGUUGCAAAGUGUAAGACAUAAACACUGAAACAUGCAUCUUCUGCAUCCCAGAACUGUUUCAGUUCAUGCUUUUGCUUCUUGACAUUGGCUUAAAAAUCUGAAGUUUAUACUGUAGCAAUCCUAAAACAGUCUUUGUUGUAACAGAAUUUAUGAAAUUCUUAUUGUAAUUACGAUACUACAAACCAAAAAUAUCCAUUCCCCUGGCUAUUAUGAAGAUACACAAAUAGAAACGUAUGAAGCCACAGCUGGAAGAAGAGAUGGUAAAUACUUCCCUUUUAGUGAAGGAAGGUGAUCCUUCAUUAGAAGGAGUAGUUACUUCUUCACUGAAGAAGUAAUUUCCGAGGUAAUUCUCCCGGUUUGCAGGUGUGACGGUAGGUGAAUUAAACAUGCACAAGGUGCGAGCUGAAAGAUGCGUGGCUCAGUUUGCAGACUUGAGUAUCAACAGUCUGACUUUACAAUGAGAGUUUCUAGAGAAGGAACAGUUUACAGCCCUAACAUCUGUGGCAUUAGCUCCAUGCAGAGCUUUCUUGUUGCUAUUAUCCUUGCUCAUAAGGAGAUAAAUACAGGGGAUUUUGUAUUUAUUCUUGUGUUUAUUCUUGUGCUGCCCUGUACAAUGUUUUUCAAGGUGUACAUAGUGGAGAGAUCUGACUUAGGUGGACAGAGGAAGAGAGGGGCGACCGCUUGCAAUAAGAACCCAAGGGCUGAGACCUAAAAUCUAAGCAGUAUCCUUCUGUCUAAUGAGCUAUAAAUCUAGCAAAGGAAGAUAGAGUCCAAGCUGAGCUUUAUUUUUCAGUUUACCAAAAAUACUAAUACCCUGGUUGGGUAUACUUGGACCAAAAGAGAAGAAUGCACUCACAUUUUCAUUGAGAGUCUUUAACUCUGUCAGAUGUUUUUCCAGUAGUGCCUGUCUCACCUUCAGAUAAAUAUUAUUAUGUUUUUUUGAAGUCCUGUUCUGUUCACGUAGCCAGUAAUAUGCAUUUCGCAUUCAAAAGGUGCUUUUUGAAGUGAGUGUCAUUAGAAGGACACCUGUUUUCAGGAGGUUACAUGUAGUCUUCUGUGCUGAUUUAUAAAACACUUUGUAAGACAUCACAGCUUUUUCUGUCAGGAGUUGUCCAUGUAUCUGCAGGACAAACAUCAGCUGUUAAUGACAGAAAUGUGAAGUAAAACCUCACUAUUGAAGAGCACCUUUUGCUGCUAUUUUUUACCCAUUAGCAGCCUGGGCAAUAAAAAACUGAGGCCACUUGGGAAGAACUAGGCAUGUGUGAGGGUCCCCCUCCAGGUGGGCACUGCAGGGUCAGUGUGCUUGAGAGAAACUUUUCUUGAUGGAAAGGAAUGUGCAUAAUCUACUGUAAGUAUAACAUGGACCUCUGUACAUUUCCCCAGCUCUAGGCUUUCAUGGCAUGCUGAAAGGAGAGGAGAGAGGAAUUACUUUACUUUGUGAUAACUCCUUGGAGUGUGAGGGUGCUUUCCAGCCUGUACCCUCUUGUCAUGCUUUGGCCAGCACUGGGCAGUUGUGCUCUGCAGGUGAAGGAGGAGUUGCAGAGACAGUUCUGGAGUGCAGCAUCCGUUAUGCUGUGAGUGCUUCACAGUACAACUGUACCCCAGGGGUCUCUGCCAGACUCCAUCCCUAAUAACUGACACGUUUCAUCCUGCCUCUAAAACUUGGCAGAGGAAACCCAGUGGGAGAAAAAACAAGUAAGCAAAUUUUCCCUUUUGAGGCAGGGAUGGUGAAAGGCUUGGUUAUCCUUGUUAGCUUCCUGGGGGUGCAGGCAAAAGGCCUACCUUAGUGGAGAAGUGUCAGAGAUGGCUUGUCUCAUGAUGUUUACAAGUCCUUUUAGAUGUCACUGUAAGUGCUCUUGCUUUUAGCUGGUAGAAGUGAAGGCCUGUCAGGGAAGGAAAAUGCCUUCUGAUGUUUCUGGGUAACUAUUUUAUUAGCUGCUAGCUUCAUAGUAUACACUUGGAUGACUUAGCUGAAGAAAAUUAGUACACCUGAGACUUUCAGUCAGUCUUGUAUUCGUUUAGAAUGAAAAGUAGUUUGAUCAGCUUGUGUAAAAACAUAUCCAUCCUUUUUUCCUCUCAAAAGAUCAGUGCUCUCCCUCAGGAAAGAAAUGAAAGCUGCUCCUGCUUCUAUAGCGAUUGCUUCUGAUUUCCAGAGCUUCAGAGCAAAGUGCAGCUGUGUCAUUGUAUCUUCAGUGUGACACAUCAUUCUGAGGUGAGAAAAUGAGAGAAGCGUUUGGUUUCUUUAAAACUGCAAUGGGCAUUAAGAGGGGAGCAGUUGUGUUGACCCCUCUUCAAACGGGGCACGCAUCCACUGCAGUCGCAUGGACUGGGACUUGGUAACCAGUUAGUCAUCUAUAAAACUUCCUUAAUGAAUCACAGAGGAGCAGCGUGACCUACCACACUGACAUGGGACAAAUUCCCAUCUCUCUACUGCCACUUGCUCACUGAAAGGCCUUGGCAAGCCACUUCCUUCCCUUUCCCUCGUGCUCUGCAGCUGGAACCCAUCUGAGAGCAAUCCUUACCCUACAGGGAUUCGGGGAAGUGGCGAGUGCUACAUAAGUGCUAAGUAUUGCUACUAAAACUAUAAUGUGUCAGGUAACGCAGAUACAUACAUCAUCUGCCCUCUUCAGGCACUUGACUGUUAGCCUUAAGUCUCGGCACACUGAAAACAUGCAGGAUAUCAGGUACAAUGACACCCUUCAGUCCUGAAAUUACUUGUGUCUUCAAGGUCAGAUUUGGUGACUUCAAUAUCUGUUUCACAGCUGCAAUACCACGUUUUGGCCAAAUAGUGAUAAAUAAGAGUGUAACUUGUUUGUAAUUCCUUCUCUGUCUUCCUAAAUAUUUUGUUUCUUGGGAAGCUGAUGCUGCUAUGAACACAUUGAAUUUGCAGCAUUCUGCUUUCCAGAUGUAAAUGUUUAUAUUUAAAAUUGCCAAGACUGCAAUGCAAUAAAUAUAUCCCUAUAACUGUUUGCUUCAAAGCAUGGUUUUUUUUCUGUGCUCUGUCAAUAUACAGUGAUGAAGCUGCUACUGCAGCAUUUAGGACAGAUGCUGGGAUGUGGAGACUGCCAGGUUUAAAUGUAGCACUGCUGCCUACUCCCAUGACUGGGGGGAAACCAGUCACUUGUGUGUUCAAAAGUGUGUUAAUCUAUAAAAUAAGAUCAUUAUACAUGUCCUUUAGAGGGGCAGAGGGGAGGUGAACUUCAUGUUGAAUGUGAGAACUGUUGGCCUGAUAACUCCAAGGUCUGUUACCUUAGAGUGUUGUCUUCUGCUGUGCCAUCAGGAGAUGGUUUUCCAGGCAUCAGGGAGAUCCAGAGCCAGCAUCCAAGCGUCCUGCCCAGCAUGUGCUUUGCCAGCAGGGAACCUGACUUCCAGGAACCUUUUCAUUCCCAUGGUAAAUGAUGCAGAUGUAUUUGGAUCAGAGAUGGAUGUAGCUUGCUGGAGAUGGUAACAUACCCAUGCUCUGGAAUUAAGAUGUUUUCUAAAAGGAUUAAUUCCCAUUGCAGCCCGGGAGCUGUUUAAAGAGAGCAAAAUCUGUGGUUUAAAGGCAGGAGGGGCAGUAUGAGGAUGAAUGUAAUGAGGAGGAUCAGAGAGAGAACUCACAGAAGAGGUCUGCAACCCAUUGACUUUCAUUUGCAUUUUAAAAGUGCUGUACACUGGGAGUCUGCCCUGUCUUCCAUGUGUACGAUGUUUCCCUGGUGUCUUACAAGAUGAUUUACAAUCAGUGUGGCAGUAAACUCUUACUCCUUUG